UACAUUUUGGUGUACCAAAGGGCUCUGUAUUAGGAUUGUAAAUGUACUGUAUGUUUUUUUUUUAAACCUAUUGAUGAAAUUUGCAGAAGUCACAAUAUGAACUAAUAAUCCUAUGGUGUAUCUUGAAUGAACAAAAGACUAGAGACCAAUUUGACAGACAUAACUGCAUAGAUGAGUUCAAUUUAGAAAUAUGCUUAUAGUUAGUAAAUCAUGACAAAACCGACCAUAUUGAUUUUGCAGAAUGAACAGAAGUUUGAAACUUUUAAGUAGAAAGAGAAAACUUAUCUAAUAUUGCCUAACAUGAUUCUAUUAAUGUCUGAAUUCGUAUAGUUUUGAUAUGUAUUUUUAUACAGUUGUAAUUGUUAUUCAUUUAUGUAGUUUUAUUGUUUCGUCCUUUUUAUUUUAUUUGAUGUGCAAUAUUUUAGUUUGUUAAUUAAUAAGAUUAUUGGUUAUCUUAUAUUGUUGUGUAAACCGCUGAGAGUAUUUUUUGUUCACUAAUGCCUGUCA
rnacentral:lncRNA from 1 species